AUGUUUUUGCUGAAGGAUUAACUCUCCAAGGACCAACUGAUCUCUACUCUCUGCAACAAUUUACAUCAAACGGAGUAGAAGAAGUGACCCCCCUGCCCAAUCUGUGAGAGUGGUAUGCGUGCCAGAUGAGAGGAUGUUUGGACAGACGAUGGCACAGUGCAGCUGCCCACAUGGUCCAGCUGGCUCAUCAACCACUUGGGAGCUCUCCCACUCCAGGCCCCUCCCAGGUACAAUCCCUCCCAAGCUGUCAUAAAUCAGGACAUUUAAAAAGAAAGCAAAGCUUUGAAAAUGUUUC